UAUUACAGAAAGUUCCCAAAGUGAGGGUAACUUAAAAAAAAAAAACCCGGCUAAAAUACGGUCCGCAGCCGCGGUAAUACGUGGGUGGCCCAGCCUUCUCCGGAUUUAUUGGGCGUAAAAGGACCACCUGGGGGUUUUUUAAAUUGUUAAAUUAAAAGCCGUGGCCCAACCCCCGAUUGUCUUUGGAAACUGUCAAACUUGAGUUCGAAGGGGAGAGUGGAAUUCCCAGUGUAGCCGUGAAAUGUGCAGAUAUUAGGAGGAACACCAGUGGCGAAAACGGCUCUCUUUUCCGUAACUGACGCUGAGGAUCGAAAGCGAGGGGAGCGAACAGG
rnacentral:rRNA from 1 species